rnacentral:rRNA from 1 species
UGCAAGUCGAGCGGUAACAGAAAGUAGCUUGCUACUUUGCUGACGAGCGGCGGACGGGUGAGUAAUGCUUGGGAACAUGCCUUGAGGUGGGGGACAACAGUUGGAAACGACUGCUAAUACCGCAUAAUGUCUACGGACCAAAGGGGGCUUCGGCUCUCGCCUUUAGAUUGGCCCAAGUGGGAUUAGCUAGUUGGUGAGGUAAUGGCUCACCAAGGCAACGAUCCCUAGCUGGUUUGAGAGGAUGAUCAGCCACACUGGAACUGAGACACGGUCCAGACUCCUACGGGAGGCAGCAGUGGGGAAUAUUGCACAAUGGGCGAAAGCCUGAUGCAGCCAUGCCGCGUGUGUGAAGAAGGCCUUCGGGUUGUAAAGCACUUUCAGUCAGGAGGAAAGGGUGUGAGUUAAUACCUCAUAUCUGUGACGUUACUGACAGAAGAAGCACCGGCUAACUCCGUGCCAGCAGCCGCGGUAAUACGAAGGGGGCGAGCGUUGUUCGGAAUUACUGGGCGUAAAGGGAGCGCAGGCGGUUCAUUUAGUUAGGCGUGAAAGCCCCGGGCUCAACCUGGGAACUGCGCUUAAUACUGAUGAACUAGAAAACAGAAGAGGGUAGUGGAAUUCCCAGUGUAGAGGUGAAAUUCGUAGAUAUUGGG